rnacentral:misc_RNA from 1 species
GUAUUGAUUGCGUGUGACCGCAAAAACAAAACAUUCUAGACUGUAUCGAAUUUUGUGUGAAAACGUGAGCCCUCCUGCAAAGGGGGGACCCGCGCGGUGAUGCACAAAGGGUGAGAUGGAUUAUUAUGUGAGGAAACACACCCGGGCGUGCACGACAUUGAGUCAGCGACAGCCCUUGCAUGCCCCUCACAUUUUGUACGAUAAUGAUCCUUCCGCAGGUUCACCUACGGAAA